rnacentral:rRNA from 1 species
CGGGUGAGUAAUGCGUGACCAACCUGCCCCAUGCUCCAGAAUAGCUCUUGGAAACGGGUGGUAAUGCUGGAUGCUCCAACUUGACGCAUGUCUUGUUGGGAAAGUGUUUAGUGGCAUGGGAUGGGGUCGCGUCCUAUCAGCUUGUAGGCGGGGUAAUGGCCCACCUAGACUUCGACGGGUAGCCGGCCUGAGAGGGCGGACGGCCACAUUGGGACUGAGAUACGGCCCAGACUCCUACGGGAGGCAGCAGAC